rnacentral:rRNA from 1 species
AUUGAACGCUGGCGGCAUGCCUUACACAUGCAAGUCGAACGGCAGCGCGGACUUCGGUCUGGCGGCGAGUGGCGAACGGGUGAGUAAUACAUCGGAACGUACCCUGUUGUGGGGGAUAACUAGUCGAAAGAUUAGCUAAUACCGCAUACGACCUGAGGGUGAAAGUGGGGGACCGGAAACGGCCUCAUGCAGCAGGAGCGGCCGAUGUCUGAUUAGCUAGUUGGUGGGGUAAAGGCCCACCAAGGCGACGAUCAGUAGCUGGUCUGAGAGGACGAUCAGCCACACUGGGACUGAGACACGGCCCAGACUCCUACGGGAGGCAGCAGUGGGGAAUUUUGGACAAUGGGGGCAACCCUGAUCCAGCAAUGCCGCGUGUGUGGAGAAGGCCUUCGGGUUGUAAAGCACUUUUGUCCGGAAAGAAAUCGCGCUGGUUAAUACCUGGCGUGGAUGACGGUACCGGAAGAAUAAGCACCGGCUAACUACGUG